CAUGCCUCUCUGGUGCUCGUAAACCAAGAAAUGAGUAUCAUCCACUUUCACUCCAAGUUUACAUGAUAAGUAGUUAGAUGCAUAAUUUCCCUGUUUCUUUUUGAGAUUUAAUGCCUGACUAUGUUACGGUAUUAAGAAUCUUUUCCACAACUCCAUCCAUACAUCCAAUCCAUUCCCUGCUUUGUGUGUCCUUCACAUCUGUCAGAAAUGCACAUAAAAAUCAGAUAUCAGUUAUCUCCAGAUCAAAUCAUUCCACAGCCACGUGAAUGCAGUUAAGAUAAAUGUACUCAUAAACCCCCAUAGCUCUCCACCCAGCCGUGCCAAGCUCCCAGCCUACAUUUAGAGGCAGAGAGGCAUGUGUUUGGUACAGUGUAUGCUUUUUCUACAAAUUGCCUUUUCCUUUCCCAAUAUUUCCUUUCCCAAUUUCCUUUCUUUAAUUCUGCAACUAAAAUUUGGUUUACAGGAAAGAAACAGUGACUCCAAGGCUAAUUGCCAAAGCAACUCCACAUACGUGAAAGAAAAAUCAAUAUUGUUGACGAAUCCCCUUCUAUUUUGCAGUGACAUUGUUGAUGGGCCAGCAGCUGUUUGA
rnacentral:lncRNA from 1 species